rnacentral:rRNA from 1 species
AACGAACGCUGGCGGCGUGGAUAAGACAUGCAAGUCGAACGGGACAGACCGAGUAGCAAUAUUUGGAAUGUUCAGUGGCGAACGGGUGCGUAACACGUGGAUAACAUUCCGGAAAGCGGGGAAUAGCCCAGGGAAACUUGGAUUAAUACCGCAUGUGGCCGCAAGGCUAAAGACGGGGACCGCAAGGCCUGUCACUUUCCGAUUGGUCCGCGGCCGAUCAGCUAGUUGGCGGGGUAAUGGCCCACCAAGGCUACGACGGGGAGCUGGUCUUAGAGGACGGCCAGCCACACUGGAACUGAUACACGGUCCAGACACCUACGGGUGGCAGCAGUCGAGAAUCUUUCACAAUGGGGGCAACCCUGAUGGAGCGACGCCGCGUGGAGGAUAAGGUCUUCGGAUUGUAAACUCCUGUCAUGCGAGAACAAGGUACUCAGGCUAAUAACCUGAUUGUUUGAUGGUACCGCAAGAGGAAGAGAUGGCUAACUCUGUGCCAGCCGCCGCAGUAAAAC